CAUACCUAGGUUGCGGGUUUGAUCCCUGGUUUCGGGGUGUGUGGGAGGCGACCGAUUGACACUUCUCUUUCACACUGAUGUGUCUCUCUAUCCUUUCCUCUUUCCAUAAAAGCAUUGAAAAUAAUGUCCUUGGGUGAGGAUAAAAAUAAAAAUAACAAAAAAUUAAAUAACAGUUCUUUAAAAAUGGCAAUUCAAAAUCUUAUUUUGAAGUCGUCUUUGUAUCAGUUGCAUUCAACUAAGGGUAAAUGAGAGAGCUAAGAGACAGAAUAUUUUAAAUUUAAAAUAUGUGUAGUCUAUGUAUGUUGAAUUUUUUUCCCCCAGAAAGUGAUUGUAGAAUUGUGGAAUGUCUGGGAGAGAGGGAGGCAACUUGAAGUUUUUAAAUCUAAGUUGGUUCAUAGGCAGAGUGACUUCUUGUUAACAUUUCUUACCCUCAUUUAUUUACUGGAAACAAUUAUUCAGGCUGGAUUAGACAGCAAAUAAAGCUAAUUAAUUGAUGGCAAUGAGUAGAUCUAGUGUCUUAUUCUCACUGUGCUCACUUGGCGGUGGGUCCUUGAAAAACUCUGAAACUGUUUAGGAUCUUAAACUGUGAAAUAAAGGGUUUGAAGCAAACCCCAUGCCCUUAAGUUCCAUACGUUGAUACUUAGUUCCCAGUUGUUGAAAUAAAAAGACUUUAAUGUGAGGUCAUAUGGGAGAAAUAAAAAAAGAGAAAUACUUGCUAGCUGACGUUUACAUUCCACAGUUAUAAUUAUUCAGGUUUCUCCUUGGAACUCAUGAGCUUUGGCUGCAGUACAAGGAACAGCAAGGUGCCCUCCUUCCCCCUUCCCUGGUGUCUUUGAAGGUGCUGUGAAAUCAAGGGUACUGGAAACAACACAGGGAUGAAAGAGAGUGUGUUUGUCAAAAAAAGAGAGAGAAAAGGAGGUAGGAAGAGGCAUUUGGAAAAGGGCACAGGAUGAUUUUCUUACAGUCAACCUACAGGACGUAUCUGGCUGCUGUUUUAACACUUUUCUGACCAGGUGAGAGCCACCUAAAAGUAAAACCACAGCGAUGGCAAAUACUGCUAACUCAAAGCAGAAAAACAUGGUGGAAGGGAUUUGGGGAAGAAAUUGAUUAUUAUGUGAAGAAGUCACCUACUUUCUUCUCUGUGUGCAUAUGAGAACUAUGUAAUGUGAUUAAAAAUUGUAGGGUUAGAGAGUAGUAGUUUUUUAGUGGGUGUGAAAGCCAGGAUUUUGAUUCUUAUCCUUUUACAAGACAGUUCUUUUUUGCUUGUAGGCUACAAUGAUGAAGUCUUCUUGUAUGUCUGCCUAUUAGUUAUCAGCUAGAGUAGGUUAUGCUUGAUGGUUUCUUGCUUGGUACCUAUCAAACAGCUUGCCAACUUGCCCUUUGUUUUGGCUGCCCCUAGAGCAGGUUCUUACUUUGGUCUAACUUGGUGUGUUCAGAGCUAGAUGGUAAAGACAGGUCUGUUUCAGUGAGAGACCUCUGGAAGAUCUUAUUCCCAAAGUGUCCUCCUUUUUAUUGUGUUUAAGCAAAAGAAACUGCUUCAAUAUUUCAGGUAGUACAUAGUUAUUAAUACAUUCUCUACUUUGCCAUGAAGUUUUAUGUGAAUAGUUAGCUCUAUUUCUAUAGCACGGUUAGAGGAAAUAACUCAUUGUCUUUUAUUUACAUAAUUGGAAAGUCACUUCCAAAGUAGUUGUGUUGACACUUGACUAUCUGAUUUUUAGGUUUUAGAGGAAUGCACUGUUCAAAUACUUUAGUAUCUAGUUUUUAAACAUUUUUAUUUGUUGAUUUUAGAGAAAGAGAGGAAGGAGCGGGGGAGAGAGAGAGAGAGAAAGAGAGAGAAACAUCGAUUUAUUCCACUUAUUUAUGCAUUCAUUGGUUGGUUUUUCUGUGUGUGCUGAUCAGGGAUCAGACCUGAGACCUUGGUGUAUCAGGUCAACACUCUGACCUGCUGAGUGACAUGGCCAAGGCCUCUAGCCUCUGUUUUUUUGAAGUCUGUGUUAGAACUACAUAUAAGCAAUACUUAAGUAAUAUGCUUUUGAGAAUUACAAAUAUUGGUUGGUACCAAAUAGGAAGUGUUGGAAAGAAUAUUUUUUCAGCCACCAUUAUACCAAAUAUUCGCAGGUCAUGAGAUGGUAACCAUCAAUGCAAUUGAUAUUAUGACAUUUUACACUUUGAUUUGUAUGCCAUUUUUGACAUCAGCCAAUGAAGCUUAAAAUUACUUGAUACAUAGGUGUGUUUGAAUCCUGAGCACCACGCACUUUGUUUCCCGAUGUGUUAAAUCUGUUAUUCAAUGGCCA